UUGGAGGGCAAGUCUGGUGCCAGCAGCCGCGGUAAUUCCAGCUCCAAUAGCGUAUAUUAAAGUUGUUGCAGUUAAAAAGCUCGUAGUUGAAUUUCGGGAUUGACUCGAUGGUCGUGCCUUAAGGGGUAUGAACUGUCGUUGUUGAUUUCUCACCUUCUGGAGAAGCUCGAUGUCCUUAAUUGGAUGUCUUGUGGAACCAGGACCUUUACCUUGAAAAAAUUAGAGUGCUUAAAGCGGGCUAGUGCUUGAAUAGAUUAGCAUGGAAUAAUAAAAUAGGACGGCAUGGUUCUAUUUUGUUGGUUUCUAGGAUCACCGUAAUGAUUAAUAGGGAUAGUUGGGGGCAUUAGUAUUCAAUUGUCAGAGGUGAAAUUCUUGGAUUUAUUGAAGACUAACUUCUGCGAAAGCAUUUGCCAAGGAUGUUUUCAUUAAUCAAGAACGAAAGUUAGGGGAUCGAAGACGAUCAGAUACCGUCGUAGUCUUAACCAUAAACUAUGCCGACUAGGAAUCAGACGAAGUUAAUUUUAUAAUGACUCGUUCGGCGCCUUACGGGAAAC
rnacentral:rRNA from 1 species